CCGCCUGAUACAGUACCGAAUCUGCAUGGGAAGGAGGGUUAAUUUGCUCAUCAACGUGUUGUGAAAUAUCUCUUGUAUGGUUGUCUUUGGGCCCAGUCCACAAUAUCUCAGACUGAAACGUUUUAAUGUUAAUUUCGUAGUCUCCUCUCACUCUCUCCUCUCUCGCUCUCUGUGAGACGCGCACAGCGUUUCAGUGCGACUGCUAGUGCUGUAAGUUAUGGAGGAGUACUCGGUGGACGACCCAACUCAGCUACUCGAAGCUGCUUCCGAUUUCGCAAGCUAUCCCGGUUUUCAAAACGACGCAUCAGCUAAGGAAUUUCUCGAUCGCUUCCCUCUUCCCGUCAUUCUCAAUGCUUUGCAAACCAAAGUUGAUGUGCCCGGUCUGGAAAGCGCGUUGGUUGCUGUCUUGGAAAGAGUGUUCAAGACGAAAUAUGGGGCUUCUCUCAUCCCCCAGUUCAUGCCAUUUAUACAAGUUGGUGUGAUGGCAGAGUCGCAAGAAGUCAAAUCUUUAGCUUGUAAAACGGUUUCUUGCCUUCUCAAGAAUUUGAAUGAAGAUUCCAUUUCUGCAACACGCCUUAUACUUGACCACAAUAUAUAUCCUCUUUUGUUUGAUUGCCUCAUUCAUGGCAAUGAAAAAGUUGCAACUGUAGCAAUGGAUGCAAUAGCGAGGAUAAGCUGGUUCUCCUGAAGGCAUAGAUAUUGUUUUCCCAGCUAAUAAUAAAGAGGCUACACAUCUUGGAGCUCUAGCAGACCAAUGCUCUUCAGUGGGACGGGUCCGGGUUCUGGCUUUGAUGGUGAAGCUAUUCUCUGUCUCCGCCAAUGUGGCAUCAGUAGUUCAAAAGUCAAAUCUACUUGGACUUUUGAGGCAGAAAUCAACAACACAAAUGAUACCCUUUCAACCUUGAUCAUUUUGGAGCUUUUGUACGAGUUGACAGAGAUUGAGCAUGGUAGAGAGUUUUUGUCUGCAAGCACCCUUCUGCAACUGCUUAGUUCUAUAAUCAGCAACAAAUCAAUGGAGUCAAUUUUAAGAACAAGGGCAAUGAUGAUUAGUGGAAGAAUUCUGUCCAAGGAGAAUUACAUACUUGCAGAUGAAUUGAACUUAAAAACUGUAUUAUCAGCCAUAGACAGGAUACUUAGUUCAUCCGAAACUCAAGAAAUAGAUGAAUGUGAAUCUGCUCUUGAAGCACUUGGUCAAAUAGGGUCAUCAACUCAAGGAGCGCAGCGUUUAUUGUCAAGUUCACCACCAGUUGCAAGACAUGUUAUCUAUGCAGCCUUUGAUAGACAUGGACAUGGUAAACAACUGGCUGCCUUACAUGCCCUUGGAAACAUUUCCGGGGAAACUCGAUCUGCAAACAGCAUGAUACUGACUAGUGAUGCAGAAGAAAGCCUUCGACGCUUGAUUUAUGAAACAGCAUCUAAGAGUUCAAAGCUGACACCAUCUGGUCUUUUCCUAUCAGUUCUUAAACAGGAUUCGGACAUUCGUUUAGCAGGAUAUAGAAUGCUGUCUGGAUUGGUGGCUCGCCCAUGGUGCCUGAUGGAGAUUUGCUCAAAGCAGGAGAUAAUAAACAUAGUGACUCAUCCAAUUACUGAAACCACUAAACUAGCUAUGGAAGCCAGAUAUAAUUGCUGCAAGGCAAUCCACACCGCUUUUAACAUGUCAAGUAAACUUGCCAGCGACCAAUCUCCUUCUGGGAUAGCGGCGAAGUUGCACGACGCUGUUAAAAUGGGUCCGUACCUUGCUAGGAAGCACCUUGAAGCUCAGCCGGUGGUGGUGACGGAGGACCGAUUCUAGAGUAACACCAGCCACCGUGUUCAGCUUAUGAGUUUACUAUUCCCACAUGUUGCAUACAAAAGUUUGUUCAGAUUAACGGUGGAAGUAUGUUUAGCUGUGAAUUCAGAACUUAAAUACGUAAAGCUAGAGCAGAAUUUGGAAUUCCAUAUAGCAUCAAAGAGAAUUCUCUCAAGUUUCUCAACUAAUUCCAGUUUAAAGGUAGAUAAA